AAGUAGCUUGCUACUUUUGCCGGCGAGCGCCCCUUAUUGGGUGAGUAAUGCCUGGGAAAUUGCCCAGUCGAGGGGGAUAACAGUUGGAAACGACUGCUAAUACCGCAUACGCCCUACGGGGGAAAGCAGGGGACCUUCGGGCCUUGCGCGAUUGGAUAUGCCCAGGUGGGAUUAGCUAGUUGGUGAGGUAAUGGCUCACCAAGGCGACGAUCCCUAGCUGGUCUGAGAGGAUGAUCAGCCACACUGGAACUGAGACACGGUCCAGACUCCUACGGGAGGCAGCAGUGGGGAAUAUUGCACAAUGGGGGAAACCCUGAUGCAGCCAUGCCGCGUGUGUGAAGAAGGCCUUCGGGUUGUAAAGCACUUUCAGCGAGGAGGAAAGGUUGAUGCCUAAUACGUAUCAACUGUGACGUUACUCGCAGAAGAAGCACCGGCUAACUCCGUGCCAGCAGCCGCGGUAAUACGGAGGGUGCAAGCCGUUAAUCGGAAUUACUGGGCGUAAAGCGCACGCAGGCGGUUGGAUAAGUUAGAUGUGAAAGCCCCGGGCUCAACCUGGGAAUUGCAUUUAAAACUGUCCAGCUAGAGUCUUGUAGAGGGGGGUAGAAUUCCAGGUGUAGCGGUGAAAUGCGUAUAGAUCUGGAGGAAUACCGGUGGCGAAGGCGGCCCCCUGGACAAAGACUGACGCUCAGGUGCGAAAGCGUGCGGAGCAAACAGGAUUAGAUACCCUGGU
rnacentral:rRNA from 1 species